UAAAUGUUUAUCCUGUUCGACCUCAGGUGUGUUUUGGAUUUUGUUCCCCUGUGUGAUUGAGUUUGACUCCACUGCUUUACACUGACAAACUGGAAAAAGAAUUCAUAUCUGGAGAGCUUCAGUUUUCCUGUAGAGUCGAGGUGGAGGGCUGAGCGGCACCAGCAGGACUCCAACCGUUGAUCCACUGGCUCUCUGAAUCUACUGCAGUUUUCAGGAGGAGGAAGACAGUGGAUCUGCAGCAGCUGCUGUACCAGAACCAGGACCCCCAUCAGGGACAGAAGCCCACCGACAGGUGGUGCAUUACCCUGCAGCACGUAUGAGCGCACAUGCAAUGCUGCCAUUACUGUGCAGCUGCAGGAAGGACUCGAGGAAAAAAGACUGAAUAAAAGAUUCAGAGGGAAAUGAAAGUUCAUUUGAUUUGAAAAAAUAAAUAUUCUCAAUAAAAAGUUUGUGUUUUUUCUGAACAAGCAGCUCUGAUUUGUGUAAAAAAGAGGCUUUAAUGAAGGUUUGUUCAUAGAAACAGACACCUUUAUAAAUAUGUUUCAGAUUUUUCUGUAAAAAUUGACGCCAUCUGAAAUUGUUUGUUUUGAUUGUCCAAGGCGGACCUCGAACUCGCCAUCUUCUGAACGCCAGCAAGAGGCCCCAAGAGGGCAGCAAUCGUCUUGGUAACGGUCGCUGUGAGUUCGAGGCCCAAAGUGCACAAUCACAGAGUAAAGCUUCAAAUCCCACAAGUGCAUAAAAAAAUCUGUAAAAUAGUUACAAAGAUGUUGGAAAAUAUUCAAAUAAAAACAGUAUUAAAGAGACCAAGUAUUUAAGUCUAUGUUGGAUGGAGCGGUUUUGGAGGCUGAGGACAAACAGACUCAAAGCGAUGUGACGUCUAAGUGAAAACGACUGAUGUUGUUUUGUGCUUUUUUUCAGAUUUAAUCAACAUUUCUAAGCUAAAAGUGAUCUAUUUUGAAUAGUAUAACUUUGAGAUAAGAUUCAAGAUUCAAAGGGUUUAUUGUCAAAUGCACAGUAAAGAAACUGGUUUCCCUGAACAAUGAAAUUCUUACUUUGCAGCUCACUCUGAACGCCAUGAAGAGAUAGAUAAAAGUAAAAAAGAUAAAAAUAUAAAAGAUAAGGAUGUUUACAGGAUAACUAAAGGGGGAAGGAGAGUGAACAGACCUCGAUGGGGGUGGGUGGGGUCUCUGAUGAUGGAAGCAGCUCUCCUCAGGACCCUGUGCUUGUAGAUGCUCUGCAGUGAGGGCAGAGGAGUCCUGGUGAUCUUGGGUCAGGUUGUUGUCCUCACACCAAGUCACCAGUGAAGCCACCUCUCUCCUGUAGAUGUGUGGAGAUAUAUUUCAUCAGAAAAACACUUUUUGCUGUUUUCCUGAUCUUUAUUCAGAUGAUGGGGACCUCAACACGUGUUAUGUCCAGUUCUUAUUAACAUUCAGACUGUUAAUAAGAACUGGACACAACACGUGUUGAGCUCCCCCAUAGGAAAUUCCUUGUGACGUCAGAUCGUGAGAGCCCCCUCCUUUUCAUGGGUAUGGGAGGAUUACUCAGAAAUGUGUAAACGGAUCAAAAUAUUCCUUUGGGGUUCUUUAUAGUGAGGAAUGAACAGUAUAAUGCACUUAAAAACUCAGAAGUUGGUUUUUCAUAAAACAUGGUGAAGUGUCAUGUCUACUUUUGACCAGCAGAGGGAGCUCUGUUCCAGUAGAUCUGCUUGAGGAACCUUCUUCCAGGCAGAAGUGGGGGGUGUACUGACUGUCUGACACUUCACAGUGUACAAUAGAUUAGCGGAUACAGACCACAAUACAUUGCGGUUGAACAAUUUCGAACAAACAAACAAAAAAAAAA